AGUCCGGAAUCCGCGGCCAGGGACCCGCGCAGGCCCCUCCUUAGCUGAGGGGCGGCCGGGUACUCGGGUCCCGACCCGCGACCACCGCACCCAUCACCACCACAGCGGGAACUGCCCGGCGGCCCCCAGAAGCCCCGGCCCGGCCGCAGAGGUGGGCCCCCGAGCACAGAGGCCCCGAAACUCGGCUCGCAGCCCUCAGCCCCAAUGUCGGGGGGCGCGGUGGCCCCGGGCGACCCCCCACCCCGCUCCUGGAGCCCACAGGUGGCCCCACAACUUCGCGGCCCGCGCUGCGCCCGCGGGGCCUAGCACGCUGCCGCGGGACCUGCCCAACGUGGAGUGUGUGCCUGCCCCCUCCCGCCCCGGCCCCCGGCGCAGCCCUUACCCAGAAGACGAAAUUGAAGACGAAGAGCAGGAAUAUAUUCAAGCAAUUAUGAGAACUUAUACAAAAAAAGCUAUAAACUCUACUGAGAGACAUGAGAAAAAACAUGAAUCAGCGGAGAGAGAAGCUAUUUUCCUUCAUGGAGGAAGAAACAGUGUGGUGAACACAUGGUAUCGUCUGUUCCGCCAUCCACCCCUCUGUUGACCUGCCAAAGUCCACCCAGUCACUACACCCUCUCCAGACCCAGCAUCUCCGAUGGAUGAGCACAUCAGGUUUGGAUAUGCCCUCUCUUGGUCCAGCACCCUAUGAAUUUAAACAUUGAGUUAUCUGUCCCCCUAUGCUAGAUUGUAUCUGUGACCCCAGUCUCUCGCCCUUUCCUGUGCCCGAGGCCAGCCACGACUUGCUGUCUUGGGAAUGCACCCAGCCAAGAUCAGUCAAGCAGAGCCCAGACACAUAAGCAGGAAAAGCUGACUGUUGUGCACCACGGAGACUGUGUAGAUACGUGUUAAUUUGCGUUUCUUCUUAUGGCAGCACCCUCCUUCACAGAGCCUGCUUCUGUAUUAGUCAGGACAGGCCAGGCUGUAUUGUGGUAGCAGUCGGAACCCCCAAACCCAGCUGCUGCCAAGAGAGCAGGCACCGGGGGCCCGAGUGAUGGGGACUUGGUGGAGCUGGAGCAGCAAACUUGCUAAAAUCACUCCUGGUGACCUGGCAGGCUGAAUACAAGAAGGCUCAGCCAGGAGCAUAAGGGGCGAAGUGGGAAAACACCACAUUGCGAGUUUUGUGUUAGGUCCCGCAACACGAGACGGAGACCAGCUUGAGAAAGAAGGCCCAGCUUACAAGCAGAGAUGAAAGUGAACAGAGAGAUGGAUCCAGAAAUUCAGAGCACCGCAAGGGCAGAAAAACCAACUGCUCCAAGAGUUAGGAUUUUAACAAGCUUUGGGAGACAAAGGCCCAAUAAAAUGCCUGACUUGGACCGAUCAACAGAAGACAAAGAUGGGAUUAAGGCCCAUUCAAGUCUGAGAGCCUUCUGACAGCUGCCAUUGAGUUGAUGGAGAGGAAUGAGAGCAAAUACAUCCUGAAACUUCA
rnacentral:lncRNA from 1 species